rnacentral:misc_RNA from 1 species
UUUCCGUAGGUGAACCUGCGGAAGGAUCAUUACAGAGUUCGUGCCCUUCGGGGUAGACCUCCCACCCUUUGUAUACAUCCCCUUGUUGCUUCGGCGGCUCGCCGCAAGGCCCUCGGCUUCGGCUGGGGCGUGGCCGCCGGAGGACCCCCAGCCCUGAAUUACAUUGUCGUCCGGGUACUAUAUAAUAGUUAAAACUUUCAACAACGGAUCUCUUGGUUCUGGCAUCGAUGAAGAACGCAGC